CAAGGAAUCGUCUAAUUUUAGGAUCCUAGCUUUGGGAGUUAGGGGCGAAGGUUAAAAUCCUUCUUCUUUGAG
rnacentral:tRNA from 1 species